UAAACAUACAUUCGUGAAAUACCUAUAAAAAAACUAUAAACAACUCCUAACGAGCUAAAUAAUUAUUGUACUAAAUUCAUAUGAAUUCUUUUCUGCAUGAAAUGUGUUAAUAAAGUGCUCAUAAAUUACGAUGAAAUUCACUGAAUUUUUUAUGGUAAUUUGGUUAAUCGUUGUAAAAAAAGGAAUUUCCCAAAAAAAAAUCUGCUGAAAACCGUUACCGAAAUGAAGAACCCAAGAACGAAAAACACGUAUACAAAAAAAUUACUAUCGCCCAAAUUAAUUAUUGAUACGAAAAAGAGAAUAUAUAAAGGAUUGCUAUCAACAAUUUCAUCAUAAACGUUUCAAGAGAGUUUCAUUAAUUAUUCCUGAAGUUUAUGCAUAAAAAAUGAAAAUGGUAUUGUCACAACGGCAACGCGAGGAACUGUAAGUAAGAAAGGAAUAAUAAGAGAAAAAAUCGUAGUGUCCUGAAAUAAUAUGUAUAUGGUAAAUUAUGGAUUUGGU